AGCUGAAAUCAAGAGUUUACCACUUAACUAACUGAGCCACCCAGAGGCUCUGAGACCCCCGAGGAUUUUAGACCAGCUAUUAUAAUCAUGCUUUGUGACAUAAAGAAUAAUUAUUCUGCAAUAACUGAAAAAUAGAAAAUUUUAAUUAACAAAUAAAACUAAAAAAAAAAGCAAUAUUUGAAAUUUAAAAAGACCAAACAAAAUUGUCUGGUAUUGUUAUAGCAGAAUGAGAACAGCAAAAAGAUGUGAACCUGAAGACAGAUACAUAGAAAUGAUUAAAAAACUGAACAGAACAUUAGUAAUAUUUGAGGGCAAUGACAUACUCAUAUUUGGAGUCCCAGAGGGAAAAAAAGGAAAAAUAGGACUGAAAAGAUACUAUAAAAAUAAUCACUGAAAUUUUCUCAAAUUUAUUGUCAGUUUAAUUUUUAUUCAAUGACUUCAGGAAACCUCAAGCAGGUUAAAAAGGAAGAAAACUAUGACUAGACCCACCAUAGUCAAAACAAAGUAAAUCGAAGAUAAAGAUAACAUCUAAAGGCAGUGAGAGGAAAAUUACACUGCAUAUCAAUGGAACAAUAUUUCAAAGGAUUCAUGGCUUCAAAAAUAAUGAAUUUUAGAAGAUAUUGGAGCAACAUCUUUAGUGAUGAAUGAAAACAAAAACAAAAAAGACACACAAAAACAAAAAACCCAAAUUGUCAACCCAGAAUUCUAUAAACCACUUCUAGCCUGAGGGUUGCCUCAGAAAAAAGAAACAGUUGUCUCAGGAAAAAAGAAGUAAAGAUAUUGUAUCAUAAACAAAACUGGAGAAAGUGCUCUCCAACUCAUUUGAGCUACGAGAAAUGCUAAAGGAUGUACUUCAGGUUGAAAGUCAAUGAAACAGAUGGAAACAUAUAUUCAAGAAGGGAUGAAAACCAUCAAAAAUGCUAUUGCCUUUUGCCACAUCUUUUGUGAGAACGAAGACCAUUCUCAGCAAUCAGACUGUCGACAUUCCGGAAAAUGUCAACAUCACUCUGAAGGGACGCGCUGUUAUUGUGAAGGGCCCCAGAGCAACCCUCGAGAGGGACGUCAAUCACAGUGUAGAACUCAGUCUCUUUGGAAAGAAAAAGAAGAGGCUCUGAAUUGACAAAUGGUGGGAAAUAGAAAAGAGCUGACUACUGUCCACAGGAUCUGCAGUCAUGUACAGAACAUGGUCAAGGGUGUUACACUGGGCUUCUGUUACAAGAUGAGUCUGUCUAUGCUCACUUCCCCAUCAACCUUGUUAUUCAGGAGAAUGGUUCUUUUGCUGAAAUCUGAAAUUUGUUGGGUGAAAAAUAUAUCUGCAGGGCUCGGAUGAGGCCACCUAUUGCUUGUCCAACGUCUCAAGCCCAGAAAGAUGAGUUAAUUCUUGAAGGAAAUGAUCUUGAAUUUGUAUCAAACUCAGCUGCUUUGAUUCAGUAAGUCACAACAGUUAAAACCAGGGAUAUCAGAAAAUUUUCAAAUGGUGUAUGUUUCUGGAAAAGGAACAGUUCACAGGCUGAUGAAUAAGAUCUAAGUUGCCCAGCUACAGAAAAACACAAGACGACUGGAUGAUUUUGCAGACUU